GAGAAUCAAGGAAUCAAUGGUGAUGCAAGGAACACGAUUUAGACAGGUUUAGGCCACUAGAUCGCGUAAUACCCUACGUCCUAUGUGUUAGAUUGUAUUGGUCUUGGAUGAACUGGAGUUGUUUUUUUUUUGAAUGGGGGGGGGUCCCAUCCCGCCCUUAUAUGCACGGGAGGACAGGGUUACAAGUCUGAGUCCUAGUCAAGUACUAUUACAGAGUUCUACUUGGUAUUGUUGGAGGUAUGCCCUAGAGGCAAUCAUAGAGAUGAUGACAUUCCAUUUGUAUCCAUGAUUUGUAUAUUGUGUUCAUUGAAUAUCCGUUAAAGGCUACUUGAAUUGAUUUGCAAUUAUGUGAAUUGUAUGUGAAACUCUUUACUUGUAUGGUUAUUCUAAAGUUGUCCCUAGUCGGAGUUCAUGUGAGGACACACAUGAAUAUUAGACUAGCACAUGUAUUAGUUGAUGACUAUGUUUCACAAGUCAUGGACAUGGAGAUGUUGAACUAAUAAUGUGGACACAUGUGGAGACAUGUGUUAGGACUGACCCAACACGAGAAGUAGUUCUCUCUUUAAACAACAUAUAUGCUUUGUCCUUAGACCUGAGAUUGUCGCAUGUAUUCUAGAUGUGGAUUGACCUACUUAGGGGCUAUCAAACGCUACACCGUAACAGGGUAGUUAUAAAGGUAGCUUUCGGGUUUGUCAAGAGGCAUGCUAUGAGACAUGGUCAAUCAAGAUGGGAUUUGCCCCUCUCUGAUUGAGAGUGAUAUCUCUGGGCCCCUCGAGUGAUCGGAUCAGAAAAUGCAUGGCCAUGCUACGUACGGUUAAGAGUUAACCUGCAAAGGGAUUCCGAAUCACAUGAUCGAGAAAGAGCGGUCGGCUUGAAGCUAGACCAAAUAUCGUGAGGCAAAGGGAAUAGCAUGUAUAUUAUGUUGUGAUGGUUCGUCUGAUAUGAUCUUCGUGUGCGUAUAGGAGUUGGCACGUCUUGCUAGAGGCCGCUACCGACUAUUGGGCCGAGUAGGAGUACUCGGGCCAUGUCUAUACGUAUCCGAACCCAUAGGGUCGCACACUUAAGGGGCUGGAAGCUCAAUUCGGAUCUGAUCCGAGUUGGAUUAGGUUUAGGAGUACUAAUGGGCCUCGGAUCCAGAGGCCCGUCAGGAACCCCUAUAAAUAGAGGGGUGGGGGCGCCCUAGGGUUUACACCUUUUUGGCGAAACACACCUGCCGCGCCUCCCACGCCCUUGCCUGUUGCAACUCGCGGAUCUAGCAAUCCGGCUUGCGACGCUUCCUCCCUGCACGUGUGGAUACCUUGGAGGUGUUGCGCCUGCAGCACUUGGAUGAGCCAUCGACGAGCCGCCGCCGAGCCACGACGAGCCGACGACGAGCCGCGGUACCGGAGGCGAUCUUGCUGUGCACGUGGACGAGCUGCUGAGGAGCUGCUGGACGUGAUCGACUACGUACGACUACGUUGAUCGACUACGUACGACUACGUGAUCGUCUUCACUGCACCGACGCAUAUCUACAUCUUCCGCACCAGUAGUGCGUCGAGUGGUAAUCCCGUGAUCCUUAUACGGCAGUUCUUCCUGGUUAUACGCGGUAGAAAUUUGAUUUACACUAGCGUAGCCUACCUCGUAUCCCUACAGUGGUAUCAGAGCCGUAGCUGCUUAGUUUUGGAUUCGGGAUGUGUGCAUAUGGAGAUAUGCGAGUUCUCUGUUUGAUCUAUGUCCUGAUUUCGUGCCUUUGCUACAAUGGUAGUGUAACGACAUACUCCUACCGAUCGGUUUCCGCCAUCGGAGUUAAGUGAUACACGUAAAUCCAGUUGCAGUGAGGGAAGAUCAAUAUGAUUGGUCAAAUCGAGAUCCAGGGUCAUACGCCAGGCGCAUUAGAUGUGCAAUAGUAGAUGUGAUCUACUGCCGGGGUCGGGAUUUUGCCGUAUGCGCAUGCUUCGGUAAAUCAGCCGUAACUUUUCGGUACGAUCUCGGAUCGGGGCGAUUUCUAUACGAAAAUUGAUCUACAGAAAAAGUUACACAUGAAAUUCAACUGCUUCGCCGUUUUCGGCGAAAUUAGAUUUGCCAAAUUCGGCUUGGAAGAUGGAGUUUCGGGCCUCCGAAGUUUGGAACGUUAGGACGCCUAACUCUGUUUUGCAGGAUGUAUGUAUCUAUCUUGUGAUCAGUAUGGCCCCCUUGUGUAUGUGAUGCAUGUGUGUAACUCAUUCGUGACCUGCGUGUCGCGCGUACGGCAACACGGCAGGAGCCAUAUGUGUUGUCACCUUAUUGUAUUUAAUGGUCUGCGUACCAAUCUGUGAUGAUCCAAGCAACUAUGUAAUCUUCAUUACUAGAUUCUUUACUAGCUAUUAGGUGUAAUAGCAUACUCUAGUUCUUGGAGGACUCAUCACCAGGAGGAUGGCGCACAUGGAACAUGGAGAUGAAGAUCACCAUGGUGAACAGGUUCUAUGGAGAUGGAGAUCACCAUAUGAAAACGGGCCAUACUGUGUCACAACUCUGUGAAUGCUAUUCUGUUUAUGUUUUACUUUCUGCAUGCUGUGAUGUUAGAAGUAGAACGAUCCCUCAUAAAGUUUAAGUUAGUAUGCCCUCCCAACUAAAACUUGCACCGUCCCAUGUCUUGUACAAUUAGUGGUGGGUCUAUGAAAUUAGAGUGCCACUAGUUUUCCUUGACUAGACGGGUUUGUGUCGGACACUUACACGCAUAAGGGUUGGUUAGCUUAACGAGGUCAUCUUAACGGUUAAGGACCUUGGGGCAUAAAGGUUGGGCGCCGAGACAUAGAGAUGUCACCCAACAACAGGAGUCAUAUGUGAUAUGAUUAGCAAAAGUUGCUUACCGAUCUACCUCGUUUGCUAGCGGUGAUGCUAAAGCUCACUAGUCGACUUGUUAGUUGUGGAUCCUGAAUCACUAAGUUUCAAUAGAGGGAUAUUGAUUUUAGUGGGAGUAGAUUCUGUUAAAAUAGUUUAAUGUAAUUUGCUCUAUCAUGGAUACGUUUGUCUUAGUGUAUUUUGCAUUACUUUUGUUGUAGAUUAAAUGGCACCUAGCAACACCACCACAUCGUUUGCUUUGCGUUCGGUCCUUGAGAAGGACAAGUUGAAUGGAACAAACUACUCGGAUUGGAUCCGCAACCUGAGAAUUGUUCUCAGGGCUGAGAAAAAGGAAGAUGUUCUAGACAACCAACUACCAGAAGAACCUGCUGAGGAUGCACCCGCUGCUGCUAAGAAUGCUUACAAGAAAGCAUGUGAUGCUAACCUCGAAGUAAGCUGCCUUAUGCUUGCUUGCAUGGAACCCGAGCUGCAGAUGUAGUUCGAAACAAACCAUGAGGCGCACGAUAUGAUCGUGGCGCUUAGAGACAUGUUCCAAACACAGGCCAGGACUGAAAGGUUCAAUGUGUCUAAGGCCUUUGUUGAGAGCAAGCUAGCAGAAGGCGCAGCAGUAGGACCACACGUGAUCAAGAUGGUUGGUUACACUCAACGGUUGGAGAAGCUAGGCUUCCCACUGGGCCAAGAGUUGGCCACUGAUUUCAUUCUUUCGUCUCUUCCGCCUAGCUAUGGGAACUUCAUCUCGAACUACCAUAUGCAUGGGACGGAGAAGGGUCUGAAUGAGCUGUGUGGUAUGCUCAAGACAGCAGAGGCUGACAUUAAGAAAAGCGCUAGUACCAGCCAUGUGAUGGCGAUACAGAACAAGCCCAGCUUUAAGAAGAAGGGAAAUUCUUGGAAGAAGAAGGGCAAGGCUGGAACGUCCAAGCCAAACCUACCGCCCAAGGCUAAAGCUGGACCUGCUCCAGAUAAAGAGUGCUUUUACUGUCAUGAACUUGGUCACUGGAAGAGAAACUGCAAGCAGUACCUAGCUUCGUUGAAGAACGGCGGAAGUAAGAGUACUUCUAUCUUAGGUACGCUUGUUGUUUAUGUUAUAGACAACAUAUUUCUCGCUGAUACAGUUAUUAAUUCUUGGGUAUUUGAUACCGGAUCGGUGCUCAUAUUUGCAAUUCGAUGCAGGGAAUGAUAAGAAGUAGAAGCGUGGAAAGAGAAGAAGUUGAUUUCCGCAUGGGCAAUAAUGCAAGAGUUGCUGCUUUGACCGUCGGGACGAUGCAACUCCACCUCCCAUCAGGAUUUAUUAUGGAGUUGAAUAAUUGUUAUUUUGUUCCUAGUUUAAGUCAAAACAUUUUAUCUCCUUCAUGUUUGAUGAAGGAUGGUUAUUCAUUUGCGAGUGAAAACAAUGGUUGUGUGAUCUCUAAGAAUAAUAUGUUUAUGGCUUUUGCACCCAUUGUGAAUGGAUUAUUUGUUUUAAAUCUUGAUGGAUCACCUGUCUGUAAUGUAAGUGCUAAAAGGCCUCGGCCUAAUGAUUUGAGUCCUACCUACUUGUGGCAUUGUCGUUUGGGUCAUCUAAGUGAUAAGCGCAUGAAGAAGCUCCAUUCUGAUGGACUUCUAACUUCAUUUGAUUUUGAAUCAUAGGAGACAUGUGAGGCUUGCUUGCUAGGCAAGAUGACCAAGACGCCUUUCACAGGAUUUCCUGAGAGAGCAGUAGACUUGUUGGAACUCGUACAUAGUGAUGUAUGUGGACCAAUGAGCACGACGGCUAGAGGAGGAUUCCAAUACUUCAUAACAUUCACUGAUGAUUUUAGUAGAUAUGGCUAUGUCUACUUGAUGAGGCACAAGUCUGAGACCUUUGAAAAGUUCAAGGAAUUUCGGAAUGAAGUUGAAAAUCAGCGUGGCAAGAAAAUUAAGGCCUUACGAUCUGAUCGUGGAGGCGAGUAUUUGAGCCACGAGUUUAGCAAUCAUCUAAAGAGUUGCGGAAUUGUUCCACAACUUACGCCGCCUGGAACACCUCAGAGAAACGGUGUGUCCGAGCGACGUAAUCGAACUUUGUUAGACAUGGUUCGAUCAAUGAUGAGCCAGUCGGACCUACCGUUGUCAUUUUGGGGAUACGCUCUAGAAACAGCAGCUUUCACACUUAAUAGGGUACCAUCUAAAUCCGUAGUUAAGACACCAUAUGAGAUGUGGACUGGAAAGGUUCCUAGUUUGUCUUUUCUAAAGAUUUGGGGAUGUGAAGUGUUUGUCAAGCGACUUCAGUCGGACAAGAUCACACCCAAGUCAGAUAAGUGCAUUUUCGUGGGAUAUCCAAAGGAAACUUUGGGAUAUUAUUUCUACAACCGAUCAGAAGGCAAAGUGUUUGUCGCUCGGAACGGGAUUUUCCUAGAGAAAGAGUUUCUCAAAGGAGAAAAGAGUGGAAAGACAGUGCAUCUUGAAGAAGUUCAAGAUGAGUCAAUCGGGCAAGAAUCAAUGAGUGAUGCUAACGUAGCAGAACAAGUUGAGAUACCCAUGGCAAGAGAAGCACCGCCACAACCACGAAGGUCGGCAAGGCUCCGCGAAAUGCGGGAAAUAUUAUUGUUGGACAAUGAUGAGCCUGCGACAUAUGCAGAAGCAAUGAUGGACCCAGACUCUGAAAAAUGGCAGAGUGCCAUGCAAUCCGAAAUAGAGUCCAUCGGAGACAAUCAAGUUUGGAACUUGGUUGACCCGCCUGAUGGUGUUAAAGCCAUAGAGUGCAAGUGGAUCUAUAAGAAGAAAAAGGACAUGGAUGGAAAUGUUCACAUCUAUAAAGCACGACUUGUCGCAAAAGGUUUUCGACAAGUUCAAGGAGUUGACUACGACGAGACCUUCUCGCCCGUAGUGAUGCUUAAGUCCAUUCGGAUUAUUCUAGCUAUAGCUGCAUAUUUCGAUUAUGAGAUAUGGCAGAUGGAUGUCAAGACAGCUUUCCUGAAUGGAAACCUAGCUGAGGACGUGUAUAUGAUACAGCCCGAGGGUUUUGUCGAUCCAAAAAAUGCUGGAAAGGUAUGCAAGCUUCAGAGAUCCAUUUAUGGAUUGAAGCAAGCAUCUAGGAGUUGGAACAUUCGUUUUGAUGAAGUGGUCAAAGGGUUUGACUUCACCAAGAACGAAGAAGAGUCUUGUGUUUACAAGAAGGUUAGUGGGAGCUCUGUAGUAUUUCUAAUCUUAUAUGUGGAUGACAUAUUGCUGAUUGGAAAUAACAUUCCUAUGCUUGAGUCCGUAAAGACUUCACUGAAAAAUAGUUUUUCGAUGAAGGACUUAGGGGAAGCGGCAUAUAUUCUGGGCAUUAAGAUCUAUAGAGAUAGAUCGAGAAGGCUUAUAGGUUUGAGCCAAGAUACUUAUAUUGACAAAGUGUUGAAGCGGUUCAGCAUGGAAGAGGCAAAGAAAGGGUUCUUGCCUAUGUCACAUGGCAUACAUCUCAGCAAGACUCAGUGUCCUUCGACUGCUGAUGAGCGGGAUCGCAUGAGUAGAGUGCCAUAUGCCUCGGCUAUUGGAUCUAUCAUGUAUGCAAUGAUAAGUACUCGCCCAGAUGUUUCAUAUGCGCUAAGUAUGACAAGCAGACACCAAUCUGAUCCAGGUGAGAGUCACUGGACAGCGGUGAAAAAACAUUCUUAAGUACUUGAGAAGGACUAAAGAUAUGUUCCUCGUCUAUGGAGGUCAGGAGGAGCUCGUUGUAACAGGUUACACCGAUGCUAGUUUCCAAACCGACAGAGAUGAUUCAAAGUCACAAUCAGGAUUUGUGUUCACGCUAAAUGGUGGUGCUGUUAGUUGGAAGAGUUCCAAGCAGGAGACGGUGGCCGAUUCUACGACAGAAGCCGAGUACAUCGCGGCUUCGGAAGCCGCGAAGGAAGGUGUUUGGAUAAGGAAUUCAUUGAGCUUGGUGUGUUCCCGAAUGCGUCCAGCCCAUUGAAUCUCUACUGUGAUAACAAUGGGGCAAUUGCGCAAGCAAAGGAGCCAAGGAACCACCAGAAGAACAAGCACGUAAUGCGGCGAUUUCAUCUUAUUCGAGACUUCGUUAACCGGGGUGAGAUCAAGAUAUGCAAAAUACACACGGAUCUGAACAUUUCUGAUCCGUUGACAAAACCACUCCCGCAGGCUAAGCAUGAUGCGCAUGUAAGAGCUAUGGGUAUUAGGUACCUUCUAGAUUGACUCUAGUGCAAGUGGGAGACUGUUGGAGGUAUGCCCUAGAGGCAAUCAUAGAGAUGAUGACAUUCCAUUUGUAUCCAUGAUUUGUAUAUUGUGUUCAUUGAAUAUCCGUUAAAGGCUACUUGAAUUGAUUUGCAAUUAUGUGAAUUGUAUGUGAAACUCUUUACUUGUAUGGUUAUUCUAAAGUUGUCCCUAGUCGGAGUUCAUGUGAGGACACACAUGAAUAUUAGACUAGCACAUGUAUUAGUUGAUGACUAUGUUUCACAAGUCAUGGACAUGGAGAUGUUGAACUAAUAAUGUGGACACAUGUGGAGACAUGUGUUAGGACUGACCCAACACGAGAAGUAGUUCUCUCUUUAAACAACAUAUACGCUUUGUCCUUAGACCUGAGAUUGUCGCAUGUAUUCUAGAUGUGGAUUGACCUACUUAGGGGCUAUCAAACGCUACACCGUAACAGGGUAGUUAUAAAGGUAGCUUUCGGGUUUGUCAAGAGGCAUGCUAUGAGACAUGGUCAAUCAAGAUGGGAUUUGCCCCUCUCUGAUUGAGAGUGAUAUCUCUGGGCCCCUCGAGUGAUCGGAUCAGAAAAUGCAUGGCCAUGCUACGUACGGUUAAGAGUUAACCUGCAAAGGGAUUUCGAAUCACAUGAUCGAGAAAGAGCGGUCGGCUUGAAGCUAGACCAAAUAUCGUGAGGCAAAGGGAAUAGCAUGUAUAUUAUGUUGUGAUGGUUCGUCUGAUAUGAUCUUCGUGUGCGUAUAGGAGUUGGCACGUCUUGCUAGAGGCCGCUAUCGACUAUUGGGCCGAGUAGGAGUACUCGGGCCAUGUCUAUACGUAUCCGAACCCAUAGGGUCGCACACUUAAGGGGCUGGAAGCCCAAUUCGGAUCUGAUCCGAGUUGGAUUAGGUUUAGGAGUACUAAUGGGCCUCGGAUCCAGAGGCCCGUCAGGAACCCCUAUAAAUAGAGGGGUGGGGGCGCCCUAGGGUUUACACCUUUUUGGCGAAACACACCUGCCGCGCCUCCCACGCCCUUGCCUGUUGCAACUCGCGGAUCUAGCAAUCCGGCUUGCGACGCUUCCUCCCUGCACGUGUGGAUACCUUGGAGGUGUUGCGCCUGCAGCACUUGGACGAGCCAUCGACGAGCCGCCGACGAGCCACGACGAGCCGACGACGAGCCACGGUACCGGAGGCGAUCUUGCUGUGCACGUGGACGAGCUGCUGAGGAGCUGCUGGACGUGAUCGACUACGUACGACUACGUUGAUCGACUACGUACGACUACGUGAUCGUCUUCACUGCACCGACGCAUAUCUACAUCUUCCGCACCAGUAGUGCGUCGAGUGGUAAUCCCGUGAUCCUUAUACGGCAGUUCUUCCUGGUUAUACGCGGUAGAAAUUUGAUUUACGCUAGCGUAGCCUACCUCGUAUCCCUACAGGUAUGGCCCGAGUAGUUUUCCAUACACAUACUUGACUAGUCCGAGUGGGAUACGCCUAUCCCUUGUCCUGAUCAUAUCCAAGUACGUUCCUUAGUGGGCCAUCCAGGGUCUACUCGUGGGAUUGGGAUGCAUGCCCGACAAGCCCCCGAGUACUUUGUAGUCGUGCACCACAGCCUCGAGUACUGUGGGCACUAUCCGAGUAGUUUGUCGUAGAGGUUGCAGUGUCCGAAGUGCUCGAGUACUGUCGCGUGGCUGGAAGGUGCUCUUCUUAUUCCUUUGAGUUGCUUCUGUUCCGAGAAUUUUUUAUAUGGUAGUGCGAUGUAAAUUGCACUCCAUAUGGAGUAGCCCCCGAGCCUUAGGUUGAGUCGAAGAGUUAAGCUUAGGGUCAAUCCUGCUUUUUGGUUGUUUACCCUCGAAAAUCUGAAAAAGAAAAUUCUGACCAUCGGGUACGGUACCCGUAGCCCCCGAGCACUUAGGCAAUUUUUGUCGUUUGAAGUGGUCAAAAACCCGUUGAAAAGAGUAACCGUUGGGUGUUUAAGGCAAUUAAUCUGGUUAAAAUCCGUCUGUUGCGUAACUGACGCUUAGAAUCCGGAGGUGGUGGAGAUAUAACUGGAGGGCCCCCUUUCGGUUAGGUUUUAUGCUCCACUGUAUCAGAUCUGUUUCUCUUCUGAAGAUAUAUCCUCAGGCCUCUAAUCCACUCCCGCAGGCUAAGCAUGAUGCGUAUGUAAGAGCUAUGGGUAUGAGGUACCUUCUAGAUUGACUCUAGUGCAAGUGGGAGACUGUUGGAGGUAUGCCCUAGAGGCAAUCAUAGAGAUAAUGAUAUUCCAUUUGUAUCCAUGAUUUAUAUUGUAUUCCUUGAAUAUCCAUUAAAGGCUACUUGAUUUGAUUUGCAAUUAUGCGAAUUGUAUGUGAAACUCUUUACUUGUAUGGUUAUUCUAAAGUUGUCCCUAGUCGGAGUUCAUGUGAGGACACACAUGAAUAUUAGAACUAGCACAUGUAUUAGUUGGUGACUAUGUUUCACAAGUCAUGAACAUGGAGAUGUUGAACUAAUAAUGUGGGCACAUUGGAGACAUGUGCUAGGACUGACCCAACACGAGAAGUAGUUCUCUUGUUACACAACAUAUACGCUUUGUCCUUAGACCUGAGAUUGUCGCAUGUACUCAAGAUGUGGAUCGACUUACUUAGGGGCUAUCAAACGCUACUCCGUAAC
rnacentral:lncRNA from 1 species